AACGCACAUUGCGCCUUUUGGUAUUCCAUGAGGCAUGCCUGUUCGAGCGUUAUUAAACUCUACAAGCAAUGCUUGGUAUUGAAUUUGGCCUAAUAAGUCGAUUCUCAAAUGUUCAUAGAUUGAUAUGUGAUCUUUAACGACCAAAAACUUAUGUCUCCCGUUGAAAGGUGAUCAUAUUAAUUCUCGUACACUACCAAUUUUAUAUAGUUUAACCUCGGAUCAGGUAGGAUUACCCGCUGAACUUAA
rnacentral:misc_RNA from 1 species